UACGGAGGGUGCAAGCGUUAUCCGGAUUUACUGGGUUUAAGGGUGUGUAGGUGGGUUGGUAAGUCAGUGGUGAAAUACUUUCGCUUAACGAAGGAACUGCCAUUGAUACUACCAGUCUUGAAUACAGUGGAGGUAGGCGGAAUGCGUCAUGUAGCGGUGAAAUGCUUAGAUAUGACGCAGAACACCAAUUGCGAAGGCAGCUUGCUACACUGUUAUUGACACUGAGGCACGAAAGCGUGGGGAUCAAACAGG
rnacentral:rRNA from 1 species